ensembl:lncRNA
AUUAAGGGAGGCGGGAAGGAGGCGGCAGGUGAUGGAGGAUCUGAGGGAUCAACUGGAGUUGAAACGGCUUUACACACUCUGUGACCAGGUGAUUCCACCACUGUGUGCAUGUGUUUCUGUGUGUGCUCACAUAAGGUCUGAUUCUGCAGCAUGGGUGAAGCUUAGUGGUUUGUGUUUGUGUCUAUGUAUGUGUGUGUCUAUAGGAUUUGGUGUUAUCUGCAGCACUGGUGAAGCUCCAUGGUGUAUCAGUGAUGAGUCUCCAGGAACUCCUGCGCCUCCUUCUGCCUUCACUACCUGAAGGAGAACUACAGUCACUUACAGACGCACUUAGUCCUAAAGCAGGGAAAACACCCGGACCCUGCAGAGAACUGGUGGGCAGACUGAGGAAUGACAUAAUCAGCAAAAACCUGGCAACCUGCACUCAGCUCACAGACAGAGAAAUGGACAGACUCCUUAAGAAGAAGCAGAACCUUCUUGAAAAGCUGUUCACCAGCUCUCUUGCAGGACCUUCUAAAGGCAAACCGAAGGUUUCAGAGCAAGAGAGUGGACAUCAACCAAAAAUCUCUACAGCACAGCAGCCAGCAACCAGCCAGCCAGUCUCUGCAUCUGUUAAUGUAGAUAAGGAAUUUGCCAUUGGUCCAAGGCCAGGGGUGGGAGGGACCAGAAAGGAGGGGGUAUGGCCAACUGACUCCACCUGUGGUGAUGAGGCAGGUGUGGCCAUUGAGAGUGUGGUGUCUGGAGAGAAACUGUUUAUUUUCCGUAGCCCUCCACCAGCAAACCAAGAGCCCACCUCACUCACUUCAGCCCAUGGCCACAGGAAGAAAAGAAGCUUCCUCAUGUUCAAAAAGGGAACAGUGGCUCCUCAAGAGCAAACAUGA